rnacentral:rRNA from 1 species
AACGAACGCUGGCGGCGUGGAUUAGGCAUGCAAGUCGAACGAUCCCCCUGUUUUCUUGUUUUCGCAAGAAAACAAGAAGGGGGAUAGUGGCAAAAGGGUGAGUAACACGUGGGUAAUCUAUCCUUGGAACUGGGACAACUUGCUGAAAAGCGAGCUAAUACCAGAUAAGACCACUUUUCAUCUGGAUAGUGGUAAAAGGCGGGGAUCUGUUAAGGACCCGUUAUCUAAGGAUGAGCCCGCGCCCCAUCAGCUUGUUGGUGAGGUAACGGCUCACCAAGGCUAUUGACGGGUAGCUGGUCUGAGAGGAUGGUCAGCCACACUGGGGCUGAGACACUGCCCAGACUCCUACGGGAGGCUGCAGUCGAGGAUCUUUUGCAAUGCGCGAAAGCGUGACAAUGCGACGCCGCGUGAGCGAUGAAGGCCUUCGGGUUGUAAAGCUCUGUCAGGCCGGAAGAAAUGUAGUUGGGUUAAUACCCCAACUGCUUGACGGUACGGCCAAAGGAAGCCACGGCUAACUCCGUGCCAGCAGCCGCGGUAAUACGGAGGUGGCUAGCGUUGUUCGGAUUUACUGGGUGUAAAGGGCAUGUAGGUGGCUGGAUAAGUCCCAAUUGAAAUCCUCCGGCUUAACCGGAGAAGGGGUUGGGAAACUAUCUAGCUUGAGUUCAGGAGAGGAGAAUGGAAUUCCCGGUGUAAGGGUGAAAUUUGUAGAGAUCGGGAGGAACACCAGUGGCGAAGGCGAUUCUCUGGCCUGAAACUGACACUGAAAUGCGAAAGCUAGGGGAGCAAACAGAAUUAGAUACUCUGGUAGUCCUAGCCGUAAACGAUGGGCACUAGGUGUAUUCUGCUUAGCAGGGUGUGCCGAAGUUAACACAUUAAGUGCCCCACCUGGGGACUACGACCGCAAGGUUGAAACUCAAAGGAAUUGACGGGGACCCGCACAAGCGGUGGAGCAUGUGGUUUAAUACGACGAUACGCGUGGAACCUUACCAGGGCUUGACAUGUACUUGAAAUUCCGAAGAAAUUCGGAACCCCCUUUACAGGACAGGUACACAGGUGUUGCAUGGCUGUCGUCAGCUCGUGUCGUGAGAUGUUGGGUUAAGUCCCGCAACGAGCGCAACCAUCGUCUUUAGUUGCUAACUCCUUUUGGAGAAGCACUCUAAAGAGACUGCCAGUGUUUAGCUGGAGGAAGGCGGAGACGACGUCAAGUCAGUAUGGCCCUUAUGCCCUGGGCUACACACGUGCUACAAUGGCCAGGACAAAGAGAAGCAAGGCCGCAAGGCAGAGCGAAUCUCAAAAACCUGGUCUCAGUUCGGAUUGAAGGCUGCAAUUUGCCUUCAUGAAGCUGGAAUCGCUAGUAACCGCAGAUCAGCUAUGCUGCGGUGAAUACGUUCCCGGGUCUUGUACACACCGCCCGUCAAGUCACCUGAGUUGAGUGCACCCGAAACCGCUGUACCAACCGUAAGGAGGGAAGCGUCUAAGGUGUGUUUAGCAA